rnacentral:rRNA from 1 species
GGGAACGUGCCCUUCGGUUCGGAAUAACUCAGGGAAACUUGAGCUAAUACCGGAUACGCCCUUUUGGGGAAAGGUUUACUGCCGAAGGAUCGGCCCGCGUCUGAUUAGCUAGUUGGUGAGGUUAUGGCUCACCAAGGCGACGAUCAGUAGCUGGUCUGAGAGGAUGAUCAGCCACACUGGGACUGAGACACGGCCCAGACUCCUACGGGAGGCAGCAGUGGGGAAUAUUGGACAAUGGGGGCAACCCUGAUCCAGCCAUGCCGCGUGAGUGAUGACGGCCUUAGGGUUGUAAAGCUCUUUUCUCCGGGACGAUAAUGACGGUACCGGAGGAAUAAGCCCCGGCUAACUUCGUGCCAGCAGCCGCGGUAAUACGAAGGGGGCUAGCGUUGCUCGGAAUCACUGGGCGUAAAGGGCGCGUAGGCGGCUGAUUUAGUCGAGGGUGAAAGCCCGUGGCUCAACCACGGAAUGGCCUUCGAUACUGGUUGGCUUGAGACCGGAAGAGGACAGCGGAACUGCGAGU